rnacentral:tRNA from 1 species
UCCCCCGUAGCCCUGCAAGGGCGAAGGGGGAUGGGGUCAGAGGUUCGAAUCCUCUCGGGGGUGCCA